rnacentral:lncRNA from 1 species
AGUAUGUGUCUCUUGCUUCAGUUUAUCCAUUGAUAUUCCUUGUUAAUUUGGAAAAGUUUGUUAAUUUGGUGAAUAUCUUGUAGUUUCAGGGCUAACUGCAACUCGAUCUGUGUAUAUUUUAGGUUAUAUAGAAGUUUAUACUACUUUUCUACUAGUUUAGCUAAUAGAAUGUUUUCAUUGGGUAAUUAUGCAUUUUGUGUACUUGUGCUGUGGGUAUAUAUAUGCUUUGGUUCCGCCGUUCCGGUCUUUAGUGGUCAUAUACUUUGGUUUUCAAAGCAGGAGCAAUCCGUUUCUUUUGCUCUAAUAUUUUAAUUAUCAGGUGUGGCAAUGUCAACUGGGC